CUGGAAUACAAGCAUGAACACUCAACCUGAAAACUGAAUUCAAGGAGAUGGCAUCAUUGGCCAUCAGAGGAUCCAUGUCUCCAAACAUUCAAACUUAUUGCAACACUAAAAUACGGCAGCUCAAAGCGUCUUUGCUUUUCAACUGCUUGUUAGGCUGUAUACUUGAAUGGACUGGGGUCAGAUAAUACACAGCCAAAGUUCCUCUGAUCGCAACAUGAGAAUAUGAAGCCUUUGCUUUUCACUGACGAAUAUUAUUACCAUUGAAGUUCCCCAGCUUAACUCUUGCAGUCAAUGUAGACACUGAACAAUUCCGCUAACAGAUCUCGAGGCAUCGACUCUUUCACUUGAAGGAACAUCCACUAUUCAUACCAAGGUUGAAGUUGGUUUAUCUGUAGUAAACUGAAAGCAGCAAUUGUGAACCUUACACCAAGCUUGGUUUGAGGAUUGGAAAUGGGUUGGUGUACCAAGGCUAUCUAUUUUUUCUCCCAAAUGUGACCAGAUGAGAGUGAAAGAGAGAUCUGACUCCUUUCAUUCAACUUCAGAGGGGUUCAGAGUUUAAACUCUGCCUCAUUUUGCCAUGCUAGGUAAAUGUUUUUCUCUUCCUCUUUAAGCUCCACUUCGAUGAGCGACUGGUUUGAUGGCCCAUCGAAGUGGAGCUUAAAGAGGAAGAGAAAAACAUUUACCUAGCAUGGCAAAAUGAGGCAGAGUUUAAACUCUGAACCCCUCUGAAGUUGAAUGAAAGGAGUCAGAUCUCUCUUUCACUCUCAUCUGGUCACAUUUGGGAGAAAAAAUAGAUAGCCUUGGUACACCAACCCAUUUCCAAUCCUCAAACCAAGCUUGGUGUAAGGUUCACAAUUGCUGCUUUCAGUUUACUACAGAUAAACCAACUUCAACCUUGGUAUGAAUAGUGGAUGUUCCUUCAAGUGAAAGAGUCGAUGCCUCGAGAUCUGUUAGCGGAAUUGUUCAGUGUCUACAUUGACUGCAAGAGUUAAGCUGGGGAACUUCAAUGGUAAUAAUAUUCGUCAGUGAAAAGCAAAGGCUUCAUAUUCUCAUGUUGCGAUCAGAGGAACUUUGGCUGUGUAUUAUCUGACCCCAGUCCAUUCAAGUAUACAGCCUAACAAGCAGUUGAAAAGCAAAGACGCUUUGAGCUGCCGUAUUUUAGUGUUGCAAUAAGUUUGAAUGUUUGGAGACAUGGAUCCUCUGAUGGCCAAUGAUGCCAUCUCCUUGAAUUCAGUUUUCAGGUUGAGUGUUCAUGCUUGUAUUCCAG
rnacentral:misc_RNA from 1 species